rnacentral:tRNA from 1 species
CGGGCUGUAGCGCAGGGGCUAGCGUGCGCCGUUCGGGACGGUGAGGUCGGUGGUUCAAAUCCACUCAGCCCGA